rnacentral:rRNA from 1 species
AGCGAACGCUGGCGGCAGGCUUAACACAUGCAAGUCGAGCGGGCGUAGCAAUACGUCAGCGGCAGACGGGUGAGUAACGCGUGGGAACGUACCUUUUGGUUCGGAACAACUGAGGGAAACUUCAGCUAAUACCGGAUAAGCCCUAACGGGGAAAGAUUUAUCGCCGAAAGAUCGGCCCGCGUCUGAUUAGCUAGUUGGUGAGGUAACGGCUCACCAAGGCGACGAUCAGUAGCUGGUCUGAGAGGAUGAUCAGCCACACUGGGACUGAGACACGGCCCAGACUCCUACGGGAGGCAGCAGUGGGGAAUAUUGGACAAUGGGGGCAACCCUGAUCCAGCCAUGCCGCGUGAGUGAUGAAGGCCCCUAGGGUUGUAAAGCUCU